rnacentral:lncRNA from 1 species
AGCAUUGAUCCAAGAAAGAAGCAUCUGAUCACAUUUAUACCAUGAAGCAUAGGUUGGAUAUGUUGGGAAAGGUGGUGGAAGUGAGCCAUCAAUGAAGAGCAUAAGCUUAUAUCCCCAUAGAAUUAGUUUAAAGAGAGAUUUUGAAAGAUCCAUCAAGCUUGAUUGGAAUUAGAUUUAAGAUAUUGGAGAUGACAAGGGAGGUAGCA